UACGGAGGGGGCUAGCGUUGUUCGGAAUUACUGGGCGUAAAGCGCACGUAGGCGGCUUUGUAAGUUAGAGGUGAAAGCCCAGGGCUUAACCCUGGAAUUGCCUUUAAGACUGCAACGCUAGAAUCGUGGAGAGGUGAGUGGAAUUCCGAGUGUAGAGGUGAAAUUCGUAGAUAUCGGAAGGAACACCUGUGGCGAAAGCGGCUCACUGGACCAUUACUGACGCUGAUGCACGAAAGCUAGGGGAGCAAACAGG
rnacentral:rRNA from 1 species